UUUUAACUCCCACCCUUAACUCCCAAAGCUAAGAUUCUAAAUUAAACUACCCUCUGACGCGCCUAUGUUAAA
rnacentral:tRNA from 1 species